AACGAACGCUGGCGGCAGGCCUAACACAUGCAAGUCGAGCGCACCUUCGGGUGAGCGGCGGACGGGUGAGUAACGCGUGGGAAUAUGCCCAGAUCUACGGAAUAGCCUCGGGAAACUGAGAGUAAUACCGUAUACGCCCUUCGGGGGAAAGAUUUAUCGGAUUUGGAUUAGCCCGCGUUGGAUUAGGUAGUUGGUGGGGUAAAAGCCUACCAAGCCGACGAUCCAUAGCUGGUUUGAGAGGAUGAUCAGCCACACUGGGACUGAGACACGGCCCAGACUCCUACGGGAGGCAGCAGUGGGGAAUCUUAGACAAUGGGGAAACCCUGAUCUAGCCAUGCCGCGUGAGUGACGAAGGCCCUAGGGUCGUAAAGCUCUUUCAACUGUGAAGAUAAUGACGGUAGCAGUAGAAGAAACCCCGGCUAACUCCGUGCCAGCGCCGCGGUAAU
rnacentral:rRNA from 1 species